rnacentral:rRNA from 1 species
GAUGAACGCUAGCUACAGGCUUAACACAUGCAAGUCGAGGGGAAACGACAUCGAAAGCUUGCUUUUGAUGGGCGUCGACCGGCGCACGGGUGAGUAACGCGUAUCCAACCUGCCCACCACUUGGGGAUAACCUUGCGAAAGUAAGACUAAUACCCAAUGAUAUCUCUAGAAGACAUCUGAAAGAGAUUAAAGAUUUAUCGGUGAUGGAUGGGGAUGCGUCUGAUUAGCUUGUUGGCGGGGUAACGGCCCACCAAGGCAACGAUCAGUAGGGGUUCUGAGAGGAAGGUCCCCCACAUUGGAACUGAGACACGGUCCAAACUCCUACGGGAGGCAGCAGUGAGGAAUAUUGGCCAAUGGACGAGAGUCUGAACCAGCCAAGUAGCGUGCAGGAAGACGGCCCUAUGGGUUGUAAACUGCUUUUAUAAGGGAAUAAAGUGAGUCUCGUGAGACUUUUUGCAUGUACCUUAUGAAUAAGGACCGGCUAAUUCCGUG